AUAAGUCUCCUCCAUCAAUAAAAUCCUCAUAGAGUUCGUGGUCUAUGUCGGCAUCGCAAUAUUUCUCUCUAACUUAUCUUUAUCAUCAUUAAAAUAUUGGUGUUCUUUAAAUUUUAUUAUUGUUCUAAUUUUUGUUUUCAGUAGUCUAGAAUUUUUCAUACUUUGUUUUGAUUAGUGAAUCUUAUUUGAUUUUUUUUGUGUCUGUGUUAUACAUGUUUGAAUAUCUUCACUAUUUUUCUCAUGUUUUGCAAGAACAACAGUAAUGGACGAAACAAAAGUCUUACUAGAUUUCUCCCUAAUUCUGGCCAUGCUACUGGUCAGUCAGUCAGGCAGUUGCAUUUUUUUUCGAGGUACUAGUGUAGUUGAGAGAAGAACAGGGCUUCUUGGAUUGGCGGUAUGCUUAGGGUUGACAAUCUUUUUUUAGUACAGGACGUUGAAGCUCGUAUGGAAGAUGAUUCGGUGCACAUAUGGUUGGACCAAGUUCCGCAUCUUUGUUCAUAAUGUACAUAAAUUAGACGAAGAUAGUGAGGAUUCAAUACAUGUGGAUGAGAGACAAACUCACCGCCAUUGCUUGAGGAGAAAAGUACUGAACCUAUUCGGGUCUUUGUCGAAUCCUACUAUUUGUUUGUGUUGCUAUUGCACAAAUGCAAUGUAAAUUUUUGGUUCUUUUUUUCUUGAUAAAGGUAGCUUCUAUUCCAACUUGCGCGUACCUUGAUAUAAUUAUUCAACUGCGGUUCCUAGAUGACUCUGUCCACCAAG